ACGAACGCUGGCGGCGUGCUUCACCCCUGCCCGUCGAACGGAAAGGCCCUGCUUUUGUGGGGUGCUCGAGUGGCGAACGGGUGAGUAACACGUGAGUAACCUGCCCUUGACUUUGGGAUAACUUCAGGAAACUGGGGCUAAUACCGGAUAGGAGCUCCUGCUGCAUGGUGGGGGUUGGAAAGUUUCGGCGGUUGGGGAUGGACUCGCGGCUUAUCAGCUUGUUGGUGGGGUAGUGGCUUACCAAGGCUUUGACGGGUAGCCGGCCUGGGAGGGUGACCGGCCACAUUGGGACUGAGAUACGGCCCAGACUCCUACGGGAGGCAGCAGUGGGGAAUAUUGCACAAUGGGCGGAAGCCUGAUGCAGCAACGCCGCGUGCGGGAUGACGGCCUUCGGGUUGUAAACCGCUUUCGCCUGUGACGAAGCGUGAGUGACGGUAAUGGGUAAAGAAGCACCGGCUAACUACGUG
rnacentral:rRNA from 1 species